ACCUGGCUGGCUCGGUUGGUGGAGCAUGGGACUCUUGAUCUCAGGGUUGUAAGUUUGAGCCUCAUGCUGGGUG
rnacentral:tRNA from 1 species